AGUGAACGCUGGCGGUAGGCCUAACACAUGCAAGUCGAACGGCAGCACAGUAAGAGCUUGCUCUUACGGGUGGCGAGUGGCGGACGGGUGAGGAAUACAUCGGAAUCUACUUUUUCGUGGGGGAUAACCUAGGGAAACUUACGCUAAUACCGCAUACGACCUACGGGUGAAAGCAGGGGAUCUUCGGACCUUGCGCGAUUGAAUGAGCCGAUGUCGGAUUAGCUAGUUGGCGGGGUAAAGGCCCACCAAGGCGACGAUCCGUAGCUGGUCUGAGAGGAUGAUCAGCCACACUGGAACUGAGACACGGUCCAGACUCCUACGGGGGGCAGCAGUGGGGAAUAUUGGACAAUGGGCGCAAGCCUGAUCCAGCCAUACUGCGUGGGUGAAGAAGGCCUUCGGGUUGUAAAGCCCUUUUGUUGGGAAAGAAAAGCAGCAGGUUAAUACCCCGCUGUUCUGACGGUACCCAAAGAAUAAGCACCGGCUAACUUCGUG
rnacentral:rRNA from 1 species